rnacentral:lncRNA from 1 species
AACAAGUGGUCUCCAAGCUAGUGGGGAACUUCGCCCUUCCAUAUCAGGAGUUAAACACGAAAACGGGUGAACACAUCCAUGUAGUGUGUGUGAGUUUAGUAUGUUAUCGCCUCUUUCAAUAGAAAAGGUUCUCAAAAAAAAAAAAAAAAAAAAAUUUGAGUGUAUUUCUAAAAUCUAUUUUAUAUAUGAUAUUUUUAUUACUUGGCCCCUAUAGAAUUUCCCUUAUUUUUAUUAUUAUUUAACAUGCUUUAUGUUUUUU